rnacentral:tRNA from 1 species
GGAGGGUACAGCUCAAGUGGUAGAACAUGUGCUUUGUAAGCAUGAUGUCCUGGGUUCAAUCCCCAGGACCUCCU